UGCUUGAGGAGACGUUUCUGUUUUUGAUCUCGCUACGCCUCGGCGAAACGGUAACCGCCUCUUCUUGGUUCAUGAUUUGGAGUUUCGCCCGCCCUUUCGCGGUCGCUCUCCCGUGGCGAUCCUCCAUCGCCUCCGCAGAUCUGGACGCUGCAGCGGUGAGAAGGGGGCUUUCCGCCCUAGCAGAUCGCCCUGUUCCCGGCCGGCCUGGCCUGGACCCCAGCGUCGGAUCCGUGUGGUGUAGCUAGGGUUCCCCGGCGUUGGGAAGGCGCCUACGACAUCCACAUCUCCCAACUCCUCGGCGUCCACUACAUGGCCGGUGGUGACCUCGUCUGCGAGGAGCUCGCCUAAUCCGGCUCCAUCUAUCUCGAGACAGGUUACCUUUGCACUUCUUUCCCAUCUCAUUGACCUAAAGAUUCAAUGGUAAGUCCGAUGAUGACCCCUUUUAAGCUGAGCAUCGUUCUUUUAAUUCGUUAGUUCGUUCUUUCCUUCUUCCUUUCUUUCUUUCGCUCAUUCAUUCGUUUAUGAGUCGUGCUGUUAAUCUGAUGAAAUAGAAGACAGUUGACAUGCGAAGCGAUUAUUACCUUGCGAAAGGCCAAUUGUUUCUUUAAUCUUUCCUUUGAUGAAGCGUUCAGUCAAAAAGAAUACGGCUAGGGUUUGAGCAAGAACUAAGAACACGAAGCCAUAGAGUUAUCCCCUUGUCCAAUUUACUCAUAUGUUCUUUCCCAACGUUGGCAUCGCAUAUCUACUUUGCCCAUUAGUAAAAAGGUAAUACUGGAAGUGGAAGCAAGGGAAAAGACUUUUGAAGAAUUCAUGUUGUUCUGUAGAGUGUCUGGUCUAAAUUUAGAACAAUGUAAUGGUCAUAAUUCUAGAAAGGGCUUAUUAGGUAGAAUGAUGUGAGCACGAUAGCUUAUCUCCUCUAGGUUGGUUAAAUUAGAACAUUCUUUUAUCAUUCUCUUUAUCGAUUGCAUGGGGGCUUGAUUAUCAUAGGAUCUUCUUCUUUCUGUACAUUAUAUUUGAGAUAUUGGUUAGUUGAUUUAGUUUGAAAGAUUGAUGUCUUAAUUUCGAUUAGGUUUAGAUAUUCCACUCAAUUCACUGAUAACUGGACAUCUAGCAGAAGUCUAGAUGGAAACUGGUCUGGAUUUUUCUAAGCUUAUAGAUUCUGUAGGUUAAUAGUAGGACUUGUUUAGCAUGGGAGAUAAAUUGGUUCAGUGGUCUAACCUCUUGAAUGCUUAGUCAAGAAUUGAUUAUUGGAAAUGAGAUGCAUAGAAUCUAUUCUAGUCUGUGAAGUUCUUUUGUGCUUUUAAUAUUGGUUGCAAAAUAUAUUACUUCACAUGCUAGUGUCGGAAAUCAGUUCUUGGUUAGAGGGAGUUUUCUUGAAAACCAUCUUUUGUUGGACAACAAAUUUCAAAUGUUUAAGUUACACUCAGAAAAAGUAGCUUGCUCAAUUGUAUGUGUGAAACUUGUCUCUUUUUCUUUUUUACUUUUUUUAUGCCAUAAACAUGCUUGCUAUAUUGCCCUUUGAAACAAUGUCACUAAUCAUCAUUUUUUUAUUGCCACUGCAGCUUGCUGAAAAUGUUAAAUCAUAGAAAUUUGAGAUUUAUGUUAAUGGUCUUCUGGGAACAGCGUAUUACAAGCAGAAUGGUUGAUGGGCAGCUACAGUCAGGCAGUGGAAGAAUUCUGCCACCCGGGAAGUGUUAUAAGCACCAAACAUCGAAUACCACAAAUUGUUGCUCGGGAACUUGUAUGAACUUUGAACUCAGCCCACGUAUUGAAGAGGGAGAAUUGGAUCGUAUAGUCAAAACGACGCCUACAAUACAUAGGUUGUCUUGAACUAUGUUUUUUUGAUGCCUUGGUUCCUUGGUGGCAGCACGGCUCGAUUAAAGUGGUGGCUGCAAGCUGCAUUUUAAAUUGUCAGAACCUAAUGAGAUAGAUACAAGAGUGGGAUCCUGAGCCGGACUGCCAGUUGAUGCAUUCUUAAUGCCACCUUUCACAGAGGCACGGUCUUCAGAAGUAUGUGUGAAACCUUUCACCAGGCAGUUGAGGCAAUUUGGUUUGUUCUCUGCUGUCUCCAGCCAAGUGCUUGCAACUUCAUAGUUUUUUUAAACUCUUUGAGUUUCAUUUUAGAUGAGACCACUGACCUAGAAACAGAAGCAGGAAAGCCAAGUGUAAGCCCACUACGUGUACAAAUACCACUUACAGAUGGAUAGUUAUGACCCUUAACAGUUGAUAAC